rnacentral:lncRNA from 8 species
GGUGAAGGAUGGAGGGAGAGACGGAGAAAGAGACAGCGGAGGAGAAGGAGAGUGAUGAGACACAGCCGUUUGCUGGGGAAGGGGCAGGGCGACUUCAUCAGAAUGGAGAGUCCUCCGAGGACGACCAGGACCUACCCAUCAUGCACUGGGAAGACCUGAGCCUGAGGAUCGCUGAACUGGAGAAACAGGAGGAGGCGAGGAGAGAAAGGGCAAAGGUCAGAGGGCAUGAAGGGAGGGUGAAGAUGUUGUGACAGUUCUGAGAUCAGCUUACCCGCACCAAACCCUGACCUUAAUAAUUAUCAGAAACAAAACACUGACCAUAGAUCAAAUAAAAUAAAAUUGUAUUUGUCUCAUGCGGCCGAAUACAACAGGUGAGACUUUACCGUGAAAUGCUUAUUUAUGAGCCAUUCCCCAACAAUGCAGAGUUAAAAAGUAAGACAAACAAAUACAAUGGUCAAAUAAGAAACACAAAAAAAGGAAAUAGUAACACAAUAACGAGGCUAUACUGUUUGCAAGGAGUACCGGUAUCGAGUCAAUGUGCAGGGAUGUGACGUAAUAUUACAUGUAAGUAGGGGUAAAAGUGACUAGGAAAUCAGGAUGGAUAACAAACAGAGUAGCAGCAGUAUAUGUGAAGUGUGUGUGUUGAAGUGUAGUUGUAGUGUCAGUGUAGUAUGUGUGAGAGUCUAGUGAGUGCAUAGAGCCAGUGCAAGAAUGUAAUUGUAAAAUUAAAAGGAAGGUCAAUGCAAAUAGUCAGAGUGCCCAUCGGCAUUUAGGGGCAACUUAAUCCUACUCUCUUUGCUUUAUACAUGUUAAUAAUAUCCACCGGCAUUGAAAAAGACUGCAAUGAUGGGAUUAAUGACACCCAUUGCUUACACUCGCUACCACACAUCUCACCUCUUCCCUCCUCCCAUGUCAUCCCUCCAUCCCUGAUCCCUCCCUCUGUUCCUCUCUUUCAGAGUACGAGUGGGUCGGAACAGGGGAGUGUGUCAGGGGGCUGGGCGGAAGAGAGGCAGGGUGGGCUGUGGAGGAAAGAUGAAUGGGAGGAUGAGGAGGACUACGGAAGAUGUCGAGUCACGGUCGUCUCGUCUAGAUUCCACAACCAAAGAAAUCUACAGUUAUGCUACAUCAACAACAGUGAGAGUGAGGAUGAAGAGGGGGCUGUCAAAGAGGGUUCUAUAGGACCAGGUAGCUAUGGUUACCACCCCUCUGGCCUGAAGUUGGAAGUGAGGGCCGCACUGAGCGCGCUCAAAAACAAGCUGUUAGCUGAACAGAAAGAGGAGCACCUUGCCUGCAGUAGUGUGAUCACUAAGAGGACGCAUCUGGAACACUGUGACCUGCAGACCUGCUCAAUACAGCAGCUCAACUCCCUCAGGACCUCACUCAACCACGACAUACACGGUCAGUAGGCGGUCAUUGCAUGGUAAUCAUGGUCUUUACAUGGGGCGGCAGGUAACCUAGUGGUUAGAGCGUUGGGCCAGUAACCGAAAGGUUGCUAGAUCGAAUCCCUGAGCUGAAAAGGUAAAAAUCUGUCGUUCUGCCCCUGAACAAGGCAGUUAACCCACUGUUCCUAAGCCGUCAUUGUAAAUAAGAAUUUAUUUUUAACUGACUUGCCUAGUUAAAGGUUAAAUAAAAAAAGGUUAAAUAAAAAAAAUAAAAACAUGGAAAUCAUGGUCAUAACAUGGAAAUCGUAGUCAUUACAUGGAAAAGGGGUGGUUAUUACAUGGUAAUAAUGUGUCAGUAAAUGAACUGGCAGGUGAGUGCUUGCUCUACGGUUUUUGUGUUUUAGGAUCUAUAUGUUUUUAUGCAAAGUAAUAUUCUAUUCUUGCAGACCUGAGCUCAGAGUUGGUGGGUCACCUGUUGAUAAGGGACCAGCUGAGAACCAAACAGGACGCCAUGCUCCUGGACGUACAGGAUCUGACAUAACCCUCACCCACAUGUGCACAGGACAGGAAGUCAUUGUGCUCAACAGUGGAUAAAGUGAUGCUGUCCAAGAUAUGCCACUAUGAGACAGUCAGAAGUGUUGCAAUAAUAUCCUACUUAACAUAUGAUUCUUUGAUAAAAAGGAGAAAUAUUGAUGAUGAACACUAAUGAGCACCAUCUUGGACCGGCGUCAUAAUGCAAUCCACAUUACACAGGCAGGGUAUGGAUGCUCAGCUAUGAAAAGCCAACUGACAUUUACUCCUGAGGUACUGACCUGUUGCACCCUCUACAACCACUGUGAUUAUUAUUAUUUGACCCUGCUGGUCAUCUAUGAAUGUUUGAACAUCUUGAAGAACAAUCUGGCCUUAAUGGCCAUGUACUGUUAUAAUCUCCACCCGGCACAGCCAGAAGAGGACUGGCCACCCCUCAGAGCCUGGUUCCUCUGUAUGUUUCUUCCUAGGUUCCUGCCUUUCUAUGGAGUUUUUCCUGGCCACUGUGCUUCUACACCUGCAUUGCUUGCUGUUUGGGGUUUUAGGCUGUGUUUCUGUAUAGCACUUUGUAACAUCUACUGAUGUAAAAAGGGCUUUAUAAAUACAAUUGAUGGAUAACUUUCUCCUCAUCAUCCCCACCUGAUCUUGAACAGCAUAAUCUUCAUUAUCAUCAUUAGUGGAGAGAGUACUGUAUUAGGACCUAUUUUGAUGUACGCAUGCACUUAAUUAACAAAAAAGAUUUCAUAUCAGAAAGAGGAGUUUAAGCCAUUUGUGAUGUUUGAAACAUCUCUAAUAUCUGACUCCUAGUCUAUUGCCGGUGGUAAGAAAAAUUGUAUUUAUCUUGGGAGAACCUUCAGACGGAGAAUCUUCACAGCCAUAGUUAAAACAUUUACAUAUCUGAGGAAUACCAGCUUUUCCACAAGUUUUAUUGUGUAAACAUUGCAAUAUCCAUGACUUAUUAAUAUAAGGGAAUUGUACACUUACAGCCUGUGUAAAACAAGCUAAGGGGUUUCAUAUUCAGGCUAAAGGGAACUGUCCUGUAACAAUUUGGUAGAGAAGGUUCUUUGUUUCUAAUUUAGGAUAAUUAUCCUCUUGUAUAGUUGCUGAUGUAAGAGAAUUGUCCACUUAUAUUGCCUAUAAGCCUGUGGGUAUUGACAUUUAUGUUGACUCUUGUGAUAUACCUAGGUGGUUUGCGGCCAUAACUAUAACUACCACCAGCAUAGGAAACCACAAAGCUGCUAUUGGGUGAUUCCAUGUGAGCAAAGCCCAAAAAUAAUUUUGUAUCGCAGAUUGUUCUGGCAAUUAUCACAUAGAAACGUCAUUGGGAAGAUGGAUGUUUGAUAGGCUUUUUACAUUUGUAACACACCAUUUUUUGGAAAAUGAUUAAAGUGGGCUCUCUGCUACUUUUAGUUAUAAACAAUUUUAUGAGCAUCAUCAACACAGUGAAUAGAAAAAUGGAUUCAAAUGGAACUUUGAUAGGUCCUUCCUUAACCAAUAUCAAUUUCUAUGUAUUCUUCAAAAUUAGCAGAGCCCACCUUCGAAAUAUGUGUUUGAAGAGUAUAUUGUUCUAAACAAGAUGUCUAAAAAUAAUCAAAAUCAAAAAGGGUACUUUUGAGAUGUUCAUAAUGUUUUUAAUAUUGAAUAAAUUAAUGCGAUUUUUUUUUUUUUACAUUUUUUUUUUUAGAAUACAGCCAUACUCCAUAUUUUAAAGCAUACUAUAAGGAGUAUAAUGACACCAAGAUGUCUGUACGGUUCACGGAUUAUAUGGUCUAAAAGAGCCUAAAAUGGCCACAUUCAUCAUGAUUUUCCCCAAAAAUUGUUUGUGAUACAAAUGUAUCAAGCAUGUUAAACAUCCUUCCUCUCAAUUAAGUUUGUAUGUGAGAAUUGCCAGAGAAAUCUGAGAUACCCUAAAAAAAAAUUGGGCCAUGCUGGUGUGGAAUUGCCUUAUUCCAUUCAUUAUGUCUAGGUAAAGAGAUUUUCCUGACCAUGUGACCUCACCAGUAGCAAACACCAGGCUCUAGUUACUGACCCCCUCUUUCCUGUUCAAGUCAUAUGGUCAGGAAAAACUCCUGGCCAUUUGAACUAUUGUGCCUUGUCAAGCAAUUAUUAUAUAUCGUACUUUCACAAUCGUGUGUAUUUGUAGGUUGAUGGAAGAAUUAACUGUGAUAGCAGAUUCAUAGCUAUGGGAAAGGGAUGAGUGCUCUGAAGUAACAUUUAACUUUUUUGGUCUCUGAAGUAUUUUUUUCAGUAUUUACUUAAAAAAUAAUUUUGCAUUCAAUAAACCUUAGUUAUUUCAUGUUGUGUGCUGUCACUGUGUGUGUGUGUCUGUGAUGCUGCUAUUUCAAAUCAAAGUUUAUUUGUCACGUGAGCAGUGAAAUGCUUACUUACAGGCUCUAACCAAUAGUGCAAAAAAUGUGUUAGGUGAACAAUAGGUAAGUAAAGAAAUAAAACAACAGUAAAAAGACAGGCUAUAUACAGUAGCGAGGCUACAUACAGACACAGGUUAGUCAGUCUGAUUGAGGUAGUAUGUACAUGUAGAUAUGGUUAAAGUGACUAUGCAUAUAUGAUGAACAGAGAGUAGCAGUAGCGUAAAAGGGGGUGGUGGGACACAAUGCAGAUAGCGCGGUUAGCCAAUGCGCGGGAGCACUGGUUGGUCAGCCAAAUUGAGGUAGUAUGUACAUGAAUGUAUAGUUAAAGUGACUAUGUGUAUAUGAUAAACAGAGAGUAGCAGCAGCGUAAAAAGAGGGGUUGGGGGGGCAGACAAUGCAAAUAGUCCGGGUAGCCAUUUGAUUACCUGUUCAGGAGUCUUAUGGCUUGGGGGUAAAAACUGAGAAGCCUUUUUGUCCUAGACUUGGCACUCCGGUACUGCUUGCCAUGCGGUAGUAGAGAGAACAGUCUAUGACUGGGGUGGCUGGGGUCUUUGACAAUUUUUAGGGCCUUCCUCUGACACCGCCUGGUGUAGAGGUCCUGGAUGGCAGGCAGCUUAGCCCCAGUGAUGUACUGGGCCGCACGCACUGUAGUGCCUUGCGGUCAGAGGCCGAGCAAUUGCCGUACCAGUCAGUGAUGCAACCAGUCAGGAUGCUCUCGAUGUUGCAGCUGUAGAACCUUUUGAGGAUCUCAGGACCCAUGCCAAAUCUUUUUAGUUUCCUGAGGGGCAAUAGGCUUUGUCGUGCCCUCUUCACGACUGGCUUGGUGUGUUUGGACCAUUCUAGUUUGUUGUUGAUGUGAACACCGAGGAACUUGAAGCUCUCAACCUGCUCC